rnacentral:rRNA from 1 species
GACGAACGCUGGCGGCGUGCCUAAUACAUGCAAGUAGAACGCUGAAGGAGGAGCUUGCUCUUCUGGAUGAGUUGCGAACGGGUGAGUAACGCGUAGGUAACCUGCCUGGUAGCGGGGGAUAACUAUUGGAAACGAUAGCUAAUACCGCAUAAGAGUAGAUGUUGCAUGACAUUUGCUUAAAAGGUGCAAUUGCAUCACUACCAGAUGGACCUGCGUUGUAUUAGCUAGUUGGUGGGGUAACGGCUCACCAAGGCGACGAUACAUAGCCGACCUGAGAGGGGGGUCGGCCACACUGGGACUGAGACACGGCCCAGGCUCCUACGGGAGGCAGCAGUAGGGAAUCUUCGGGAAUGGAUGGAAGUCUGACCGAGCAACGCCGCGUGAGUGAAGAAGGUUUUCGGGUCGUAAAGCUCUGUUGUAAGAGAAGAACGAGUGUGAGAGUGGAAAGUUCACGCUGUGACGGUAUCUUACCAGAAAGGGACGGCUAACUACGUG